UUUAAACUAGGAUUAGAUACCCUAUUAUUUUUAUUAAAAAAUUAAAUUUUAAUUUAAAUAUUAAAUGUUAAGCAUUAAAAAUAAAAAAUUUGGCGGUACUUAAUAUUUAGAGGAACUUGUUUGUUAAAUUGAUAAUCCACGAAUGGAGAAACUUAAUUUUAAAAUUUUAUGUAUUGUUGUUGGAAAAUUAUAUUAAUAGAUAAUUAAUUAAGAAAUUUUAUAGAAUUAUAAUUCAAAUCAAAAUGUAGAAUAAUUAAGAAGUUAAUGAGUUACAAUUAAUUAGAUAAUUGGAUUUUAUUGUUAUAUUAAUUUAAUUUAUAAAUGAAAGUGGAUUUAAAAGUAAAUGUAUAAAAAUUUAUAAGUUGAA
rnacentral:rRNA from 1 species